rnacentral:rRNA from 1 species
GACGAACGCUGGCGGCGUGCUUAACACAUGCAAGUCGAACGGAAAGGCCCUGCUUGCAGGGUACUCGAGUGGCGAACGGGUGAGUAACACGUGGGUGAUCUGCCCUGCACUUCGGGAUAAGCCUGGGAAACUGGGUCUAAUACCGGAUAGGAGCCAUUUUUAGUGUGAUGGUUGGAAAGUUUUUUCGGUGUAGGAUGAGCUCGCGGCCUAUCAGCUUGUUGGUGGGGUAAUGGCCUACCAAGGCGGCGACGGGUAGCCGGCCUGAGAGGGUGGACGGCCACAUUGGGACUGAGAUACGGCCCAGACUCCUACGGGAGGGAGCAGGGGGGAAUAUUGCACAAUGGGCGCAAGCCUGAUGCAGCGACGCCGCGGGGGGGAUGACGGCCUUCGGGUUGUAAACUCCUUUCGCUAGGGACGAAGCUUUUUGUGACGGUACCUAGAUAAGAAGCACCGGCUAACUACGUG